rnacentral:rRNA from 1 species
AGCAGUCGCCGCGGUAAUACGAAGGGGGCUAGCGUUGUUCGGAAUUACUGGGCGUAAAGCGCACGUAGGCGGAUAUUUAAGUCAGGGGUGAAAUCCCAGAGCUCAACUCUGGAACUGCCUUUGAUACUGGGUAUCUUGAGUACGGAAGAGGUGAGUGGAAUUCCGAGCGUAGAGGUGAAAUUCGUAGAUAUUCGGAGGAACACCAGUGGCGAAGGCGACUCUCUGGUCUGUAACUGACGCUGAGGAGCGAAAGCGUGGGGAGCGAACAGGAUUAGAUACCCGCGUAGUCCCUGUCUCUUAUAC